AGAGUUUGAUCCUGGCUCAGGACGAACGCUGGCGGCGUGCUUAACACAUGCAAGUGGAGCGACGGACCGGGGCUUGCCCCGGGGCAGAGCCGCGAACGGGUGAGUAACACGUGGGUAACCCACCUCGAUGACUGGGACAACCCGAGGAAACUCGGGCUAAUACCAGAUGUGAUGCAUUUUCGUAAGGAAAUGUAUGAAAGAUAGCUUCGGCUUUCGCAUCGAGACGGGCCCGCGGCCCAUUAGCUUGUUGGUGGGGUAACGGCCUACCAAGGCUGCGAUGGGUAGCUGGUCUGAGAGGACGAUCAGCCACACUGGGACUGAGACACGGCCCAGACUCCUACGGGAGGCAGCAGUGGGGAAUUGUUCGCAAUGGGCGCAAGCCUGACGACGCAACGCCGCGUGGAGGAUGAAGGUCUUCGGAUUGUAAACUCCUGUUGCUCGGGACGAAAAGCUUCGACCUAACACGUCGAAGUCUGACGGUACCGAGUGAGGAAGCCCCGGCUAACUCUGUGCCAGCAGCGGCGGUAAUAC
rnacentral:rRNA from 1 species